GAUGAACGCUGGCGGCGUGCCUAAUACAUGCAAGUCGAGCGAAUGGAUUAAGAGCUUGCUCUUAUGAAGUUAGCGGCGGACGGGUGAGUAACACGUGGGUAACCUGCCCAUAAGACUGGGAUAACUCCGGGAAACCGGGGCUAAUACCGGAUAACAUUUUGAACCGCAUGGUUCGAAAUUGAAAGGCGGCUUCGGCUGUCACUUAUGGAUGGACCCGCGUCGCAUUAGCUAGUUGGUGAGGUAACGGCUCACCAAGGCAACGAUGCGUAGCCGACCUGGGGGGGUGAUAGGCCACACUGGGACUGGGACACGGCCCAGACUCCUACGGGAGGCAGCAGUAGGGAAUCUUCCGCAAUGGACGAAAGUCUGACGGAGCAACGCCGCGUGAGUGAUGAAGGCUUUCGGGUCGUAAAACUCUGUUGUUAGGGAAGAACAAGUGCUAGUUGAAUAAGCUGGCACCUUGACGGUACCUAACCAGAAAGCCACGGCUAACUACGUGCCAGCCGCCGCCGUAA
rnacentral:rRNA from 1 species